ACGCAUUGAUGGUACCACAGGAUCAAGAUAGUAAAUGAUUUCCAAGAAGGCAUUGGAGCACCUAUAUUUCUCUUGACAUCUCAAGUUGGUGGUCUAGGCCUCACCCUUACAAAAGCAGACCGUGUGAUUGUUGUCGAUCCAGCAUGGAAUCCAAGUACGGAUAACCAAAGUGUUGAUCGCGCCUAUCGAAUUGGACAGAUGAAAGAUGUCAUUGUGUAUAGGUUGAUGACAUGUGGAACUAUCGAGGAGAAGAUAUACAGAAAGCAGGUUUUGUAUUGUUCAACUAUGCUAUGGUCUCAAUUGGUGCAAUGGAAAGAUAUUUUCGGGGCUUGUAUGCAAUUUAAGAUAAGAGAAAUGACUUAAGAACUGUUAUGGUAAACAACGUUAUUAUCAUGGAGCAGAUGUUACUAUGAAAUGCUACAAUCAGGAGCCUUAGGUGUUUCACUAGAAUUCUUUGGCUUUCGUGUGUUGAUGAGCACAAACGAUGCAUGCCUCAGAAGUACUGGAUAUAUCUGCUACUCCAUUUGUCACUGCACGCGUUAUCAAAUGAACAAUCAAGACAAGAUUUCUUUUCUAGUUUUCUCAUAAAAAGAUAGUAUCUUAUAUAAUGCAUUCGCAUUUGUUCUUUUAUGAGUGAGUGGCUCACUAUAUUGUAUAAGUAGUGUAUUGCAAACAUGCAAUACUUUCUCAAGGGCAUGGAAACC